GUCCCAGAGGACCUUGCGCCGGUUUCCGGGAAGGGAGCCAGGAGGAUUUGCCGGUUGGGACUGACUGUCCGGAUCCGAAAUUUCUGAAUCUAAUGCCGGAAAGUGUUUCUCACGUUUGUGUAACAUUUUAAAGAUUACUGUGUGCUUUUACAAUCAUCACUACUCUAGAUCCUUUGCAAAAACUGGAGGAGCCUCGUCCCCCUGUUCUCCAGAGAGAGGAGAGGAGCUGGAAAUGGAGUUAAUUGAUCAUGCCUACAUUAGGAAGCCUCCAUAAAAUCCCAAUAGUAUGGGGUUUGGAGAGGUUCCAUUUGGUGAACACAUCCAUUUACCAAGAGAGUGACUCACCCCAACCCUACGAGGACAGAAGCUCCUGCGCUUGGGACACUCCCAGACCUUGCCCUAUGUAUCCCUUCAUCUGGCUGUUUAUCUGCAGCCUUUAUCAUAUCCUUUAAUAAACUGGUAAAUGUAA